UACGUAGGGGGCAAGCGUUGUCCGGAAUCAUUGGGCGUAAAGAGCGUGUAGGCGGCCCGGUAAGUCCGCCGUGAAAGUCCAGGGCUCAACCCUGGGAUGCCGGUGGAAACUGUCGGGCUAGAGUCCGGAAGAGGCGAGUGGAAUUCCUGGUGUAGCGGUGAAAUGCGCAGAUAUCAGGAGGAACACCGAUGGCGAAGGCAGCUCGCUGGGACGGUACUGACGCUGAGACGCGAAAGCGUGGGGAGCGAACAGG
rnacentral:rRNA from 1 species